GUCCAGCUUUUGAAUGCCAUUUGAUCGGUUUAUCCAUAGAUAGAGAUAUUCUCCAGAAUUGAAAACCCUAUGUCAGUGACUGGCGUUACAUCUUCAUAUGCGAGUCAUUGAAUACGUUCGUCAAAAUCCAAGUUAUUGAAUACGUUCGUCAAAAUCCAAGUUAAAUCCCAAGGUGGUUAAUUGUACACAGGUCAAGGCACGCCUCAAGGACAGGUUAAGUGGAAAAACAACAGGAGGAUCAAGUGAGAAAUCAGAACCAAGUGCAUCAGUUGAACUGAAUUUGUGUAUAUUUGAUGAAUUGGUUGUUAAAAGAAAAGAAGAUCUCUGGAUGGUGGAAUUCUUUGCACCUUGGUAAAUUUAUUGUUUGAGCUAGCACUGUGUUUGCUAAAUGCUAUUAUUUGGUGAUUGUAAUACAUCAAAAUGGCUGCUACACUUUAUAAAGGUUCGCACAUAUGUUGCCUUAUCCUCGUGUGUGGGCAUGAUAAUUCAUUUAGAUGCAAUUGACGUGGAGCUCGAAUAAGGGCAUCCACCCGACAGUAGAAAACGAGCAAGCACUGGAGAUGCUGAGGAUGGCACACAAACAAAAACAGUUAGACGUAAGACACAUAUAAUGUCUGUGAGUGAAAGACUUCUUAAAGAGUUUUGCUAUCUCAUUUGCCACAAAGUGAUGACUCAGUCGCUUACUACUCCAUGUGCUCACAAUUUCUGCAAGUCAUGCUUGCAGGAUGCUUUUGCUGGUCAAACAUUUAUAAAGGAAAGAAAUUGCAAAGGUAGACGAACAUUAAGGGCACAAAAGAACGUCAUGAGAUGUCCGCCAUGCUCUAAUGACAUUUCUGAGUACCUUCAGAAUCCACAGGUUGGAGUUACUUGGCAAUUGGUUGCUCUUUUUCACAGUUCUUAUUUGUGCCUAGGGUUCUGUUGAUUGUCAAAGGAUGCAAGGACUGCUGGGCAUUGGUUCAUCCUAUAGAAAUGUGAUGGUUCUGUUUGAUCUUCUUACCUUGGUUAACCAGCUUAAUAUCUUAUUAUCUGCUUGUAGAGUUAAGUCAUCUAUUUUGUUUCUUGGUAAAUACCUGCAGUUCUUCUCUAUGGGCAUGUUCAAUCUUUGUCCUGCGUGGAUGAUCAUUUGAGGUUACUUUGGGGUUAAAGGCGAACUUGACCAAAAGUAAAGUAUACGGGGUAGGGGUAGAAUUUGCAAACAUCAUCGGGUGUCAAAAGGGGGAGUUCCCGUUCGUAUAUCUUGGGUUACCGGUUGGAGCCAACAUGAAUCGUGUCGUGUGGCGAAUUGGAAAGGUGUGGUGGACAGAUUUAAUGCAAAACUAUCUUUAUGGAAAGCCCGUUGGCUGUCUUUCUCCGGCAGAAUCAUGCUUAUUAAGGCGGUGAUGGCUUCAAUGGCUAAUUAUUAUCUAUCCAUGUUUAAGGCCCCUAGCGGUGUGAUCAAAUCUCUAGAAGGCAUUCGGAGGAGAUUCCUUUGGGGUGGGUCAAGUCUUGGCAAAAAGAUCCGAUGGGUGGCGUGGGAUAAGAUUUUAAGGUCUAAGAAAGAAGGGGGGUUGGGGGUUGGCAGCAUUAAAGAGAUGAAUCUGGGCCUCCUCUCCAAGUGGUGGUGGAGAUAGAGGACGUGUGAUGAUCAGCUGUGGCGAAGAGUUAUCCGGGCCAUUCACGACAACGGGAGGAGCAACGAUUUAAUUCCGGUUAAGGCGGCUAUAUCCGGCGUGUGGAAGGGUAUAGUUAUGGUAAAUAAAGAAUUCAAAAAUUGCAGUGUGGACUUAAAUGACCAUUUCGUGGCCGAGGUGGACGACGGGAAAACAGUUAGGUUCUGGGUGAAUCGUUGGGUUAAUGGAGGCCGGCUCAGCAUGAGAUUCCCAGAUUUAUACCGGUUAUCGCAGUCUAAACAGGCCACAGUAGAAGAAUGUUACAGUGUUAGAGAUGGAGUGGCUCGAUGGGAGUUAAAAUGGAAAAGGGGGCUUAGCUCGGAUCAAGAACGGGCUCGGGAACAAAGGUUGCAGUCGGUUUUGAUACACCUUAGCAGGAGAGACAAAAAAGAUACCUGGUCGUGGCUAUCGGAUAAGAAAAAAACUGAUUUUCCUGUUAAAAUAGUUAGACAGGAGCUGGAAAAGAGUUCAGCGAAUACUUGUCAGAACAAUAUUUUUAACUGGAAUAGAAUUGCAGUGCCAAAAAUCAAUCAUUUCGUCUGGAGAGCAACGGAAAGUCGGAUUCCUACGGCUACGGCGUUGGCUAGGAGAAACGUGAACGUGGGAAACGAGCGGUGUCCAUUAUGUGGCAUAGCUGAGGAGGACGCACAUCAUCUUUUAGUUGCGUGCUCUUUUGCUCGGUCCGUUUGGUGGAGCGUUUUGGUUUGGGUUAAGCUUCCAAUCCCUAGGGCCUUUGAAUCGGUUAAUCAGGUUCUACAGCAUGUGCAGAACUAUGGCAGCGAUGGCUUAAGAAAAAGAGUAGUGCAGUCUAUUGCUCUUCUCACGCUGUGGAUAAUUUGGACAUGCCGUAACGAAAAAAUAUUUAAGCCAUUCUGAGAAACGUCGUGGAAGAUAUAAAAGACAAUAGCUUCUGGUGGGUGAAGAAAAGAUCAAACAUAUAUGGCUGGGCUGAAUGAAGAGAACUGGAGCUAAUUCGAGUUGGAUAAUGAGGCACAUGUGAGUCUUAAUUUGAAAUUGUCGCCAUUAAAGACUGCCAUAUGCAGUACUUUGUAGCCCUAUAAACUAGUAGCAGUCGAAUCUUGUGGCCUCAUGUUUCAUUAAUCGGAGGGACUUACGCUAAGCCUUCAGCGGAGCCAAUGGCUAUGCUCAUUCGUCGUGGCCAAUCUAGGAGGCAAUCGGCUGCAAGUUUACCAUGGAGGUGAGUGAGCAAGCUGUGGUUAGGCAUAUAAUCAUAGACUAUAAGUCUUUCAUCUCCACCAGCAUGAAAUCCUUUGUCCCAACAAAUUCUUGUGUUGAACUCUCCCAAGAAUCUCCACCUCAACCGCGAAUUCCAAAUCCGCCUUCACCUAUCUUGUUUUCGUUAUGAAAAUUGUUGGUUGCGUGCACUAGUUCUUUGAGAGUAUACAUAUUCCAUGGGUAAUCCCUAUUCUUUUGGGGACCGCACAAGAGAUUAAAAUCAAAUAACUGGAUCCAUACAGUUUCAUAACGCAAGAUCACCUCAAAAAAUGUAAAAUUGAAAGAUCUAAAGAAAGCAUACAUGAUCUUUGGCUCUUGAUCAUCCUGAGAAGUGCAACAAAACAGUUCUUUAACUUCUUCAUCGAUGUCAUCGUUAAAGAAAUGAAGAUUAUAGUUGAGAGUGUUAAUAUGUAUUCCACAAUGAAUUAUGGGGAGAAAAACAGGUGGAAACAGCAAGAAGAUGUUGGUUUUCCGGUGAUUACAAAGCUGAUAAGAGAUAACAUUGCAGAUUCAUUCUGCGAUCUAUUAUAAAAUUGCUCUUUCAUUCAGCGAUCUUCUUUAACAUGGCUUGUCCAUUCAGCGACUUUAUUAAGGUAUUGGUUCAAAACAGCGAUCUUCUUUAACAUAGCUGUUUAAUACAGCGAUCUUCUUUUAGGGUGCAGCUUUUGCAGCUUUUGGUCAGAAAGUUCAUGUAAGGUCGCUGUUUGAAUUGGCUACUUACCUAGAUUUGAAAACAAAAUUGUUGACCACCUAGAACCACUCUUUUGCAGCUCAAAUCACCUAUUUAUGCAAAAAACUCGACAAUGGCUUUAUUACUUAUUUGAGGAAUUUAUCAAUUGGUUGACUAGAAAUGGAAUGUAUGUAUUAAGCAUGUGACAAUGCUUAUAUUUGAGGAAUUUAUCAAUUGUAUUUAGUAUUUAAAAAAAUGUCAGGAAAAAGACUUAAAACGUGUAACAAUGCUUACAAUGAAAAAGAUUUGCAUGGGUCAAAGCCUGAGUUUAAACAUAUGUUGAUGCCCAAUUGUUAACAUGUCCUAUUAUUACACGUGUUAAUACUAAAUGGCUAAUUACUACUUCAGUACUUCUUUUACGUGACUCAUAACCAAACAAAACGAUAUGCUGAAAAAACUAACAGAAAACGCAAACAAGGCUGCAAACGUUGACCCCGCUGCAACGCGCGGGUUCCUCACUAGUUGUAAAAAAUAAGCAUUUUUUUACAACUAAGGCCAACCUGGUUUACCAUGUAUGUUAUUACCAGGAUCCAAAUGCAAAUAUUUUAGUUGCAAGCUAAACCUUUUGUUCUGAAAGUACAAGGUCCAUGUUAUGCCUAGUAAGUAUACAUAAAUUAUUGUUUUUCUUUUGCAGCCUGGAAACUGUUGUUGACACUUUUGGUAAGAUCUGACAUUGUCUAUGUGUGUGAUUUUGUUUUUGUUUUGGAGCCUAUGGUGGCAACUGUAUUUCGUGAAGAAAUUGUUAGUGAAAGGUAUAUUUACUUUUUAUGAUCCAAGAUAAAAUAUAGAGAUUGAAACAUACUGUUGGAAAGGUGAUAUGUUUGAUGGUAGAGAUUUGAUAGAUGCAGAGGUGUUUUUAAGUAUAUUUAUGUUCUUGACACAAAAAACAUGUCCUUUUAUUCACACUUUGACCUCUAAAAUGGUUAAACAUUAUGAGUGAACCUUAAUAUAUAUGCUUUAGAAUAAGAUUGUAAGUAUGACACAUUGUCUUCAAAAAUUUGAAUUAAAUAAAUUAACGUUGCAAGAUUGGCUUGAAUUAGGAGAGGAAGUAAAUUAUUUAAGUUUGUAUUUUAUUUGUGUUUUUGAUGUUUUGAUGAAUCUGAUGAUGAAAUUAUUUAGUAUUUUUAUUUUUUAUAGAAUAUAAUUUUUUUGUUUAUUUUUUAAUUUCGUGACAAGGCGUACGCCUCGUGAGGCUAAGGCAAAGCGCCUCGAGGCACGAUUUCGUACUUUUAAAUCUUGGUUUCUACUCCAUUUUGUUUUAGCUUCUACAAUUUUUACAAAUCAAGCUACUUGAGUUAUCCCAACUUUCAUGGAGAGUUUUUUUCCAUAAAAAACGAAAAAGCAAUCCUAACCAUUAUUGAUCCGAACAUGAUUUGUUCUGCACCAGUCUGCUCAAGCUCAACCUAAGCUGGAAGAAACAAGUUCUGAAGGUAAUAGAAGUGGCUUCCAAUUCGCCAAGUUCUGAAGGCAGAAAAAUUACAGAAAAGAGCUAGGGGCAUUUAAAACAGAGUAACGGUAUGCCUCUUAGACCAGAAUUCAGCCCGGCACAUGGAAGUCGAUCCUUGUGAGGACUUGACUGAUAGUGAUAUCGGACUGGUAAUGGGUCAAAAAGGACGGGUUGAAUUCACCUACAAGGUGCUGCUGGAUUUGCUCACUUAGAAGCUGGGAAGUACAAGCAUGUUGCCCGCAAGGUAAUGGAACUUAGCUUCCCAUUCCAUAAAACUAGCUGCGAAACUUUCAAAUGGAAUAGCUGCUACCUGCUACUGUUAAUGUGGAACAUAGUUAGGUCUCGUUUUCCUUUCUGUUUAUAAUUUUUGAAUGCCGAGUGUCUUUUACAAACCAAGGUUGAAAUACAAACUACCAAACAAAAAAAAUAUAUAUGUUUUUUAACUUCUUUUUCAAAGUUCACCAUUUGUUUUGACCUGAAAGAGCCCAUGAAGAUUGCUACUUUAAUUGCUGUCUACGUGAAUUGGGAUUUUACAAGAGUCCAUGGAAUCGGCUGGGGUUGGGCCGGUGUGAUUUGGCUUUAUAGCAUAAUCAUCUAUUUCCCGUUAGACAUUUUCAAAUUCAUCAUCUGUUACAGUUAAGUGGCAAGGUUUGGGACAGUAUGAUCGAAAAGAGGGUAAGCCCGUUUGUUAAAUGUUCAUCAUAUUCAUUUACACUAAUCAACAUUAAUACAUUAUAUUAAUUAGGACCCUGCUCUACUCGUGUUCUGAACAAGCCACCAAAGGUGCCAGUCAAGGUGAUGUGCUUUCAGGAACAACAACGGUGCUGGUUUUUUACGAUGGUGGAAUAGCUGUCGUUCUUCUGGUUUUUUAAUACACUUGGAAUAUUUUCCCGUUGGUGAGCCUAAAGCACAUUGAUUCUUUGAGCUAUAUGUCUGCUUUAUCAGUAGCUCUUGCGCUCGUGUUACUUGUGAUCGCUACUGGAAUUACAAUCUUCAAGUUUAUAGCAGCAGGAAGUAUUAUAAUGCCUAAGUGGAGGUGGUGCCACGCCGCCACCACAUAAAAUGGAAGUCUGAAUCUCCCUUUGCCACAAACGUCUUCGGUCACAAGAUAACAAAGAACAAACUAACCUAUUUGGCUUUUUUACAAACUACCUAAUGUUUUUCUCCUUCUCACUUUGAGUUGUACAAUUGUAUAAAUGUGUUUUUUAUUCCUGUUUUCUGUCGAAUUGAGUGGUACAGUUGUAUAUGUGUUUAUUUGGAGACAUUAAUGUAUGUUCUUUAAUUGAUAAUUAAUAUUAUUAUACUUGUUGACAA